rnacentral:rRNA from 1 species
CGCGGCCUAUCAGCUUGUUGGUGAGGUAAUGGCUCACCAAGGCGACGACGGGUAGCCGGCCUGAGAGGGCGACCGGCCACACUGGGACUGAGACACGGCCCAGACUCCUACGGGAGGCAGCAGUGGGGAAUAUUGCACAAUGGGCGAAAGCCUGAUGCAGCGACGCCGCGUGAGGGAUGACGGCCUUCGGGUUGUAAACCUCUUUCAGCAGGGAAGAAGCGAAAGUGACGGUACCUGCAGAAGAAGCGCCGGCUAACUACGCGCCAGCAGCCGCGGUAAUACGUAGGGCGCAAGCGUUGUCCGGAAUUAUUGGGCGUAAAGAGCUCGUGGGCGGUCUGUCGCGUCGGAUGUGAAAGCCCGGGGCUUAACCCCGGGUCUGCAUUCGAUACGGGCAGACUAGAGUGUGGUAGGGGAGAUCGGAAUUCCUGGUGUAGCGGUGAAAUGCGCAGAUAUCAGGAGGAACACCGGUGGCGAAGGCGGAUCUCUGGGCCAUUACUGACGCUGAGGAGCGAAAGCGUGGGGAGCGAACAGGAUUAGAUACCCUGGUAGUCCACGCCGUAAACGGUGGGAACUAGGUGUUGGCGACAUUCCACGUCGUCGGUGCCGCAGCUAACGCAUUAAGUUCCCCGCCUGGGGAGUACGG